rnacentral:rRNA from 1 species
UACGUAGGGGGCAAGCGUUGUCCGGAUUUAUUGGGCGUAAAGAGCGUGUAGGCGGCCAGACAGGUCCGUUGUGAAAACUGGAGGCUCAACCUCCAGACGUCGAUGGAAACCGUCUGGCUAGAGUCCGGAAGAGGAGAGUGGAAUUCCUGGUGUAGCGGUGAAAUGCGCAGAUAUCAGGAAGAACACCGGUGGCGAAAGCGCUCUGCUGGACCUUAACUGACACUGAGGGACGAAAGCUAGGGGAGCGAAUGGG